AAGACAAGGGCAAAGAUCUUUUUGGCCUUUGCCAAGUCCGAGUUUGUUCUUUUUAUUUUCUUGCCCGACUGGAGGUGCGGGAAGUGGACGCCAGCGUCUGCUGCCUGGGAGUCUGAGGGAUUUACACCCGGACUCCUCCGCCACCAUUACCCCGGCCCGGAAUGGCCACGCGGGGGAGCAGGGUGGGAUGAAGACGGCUACGUGUGCCCUCUGCCCCAGAGCCUGGUGGAGGUGUCCUCACAGCCCACGCCCUCACUUGACUUCGGAGGGAGGGCCCCAGUCCAGCCUUGAUGGCCAGAAAAACCUCCCCACCAACCCGGACACGUUUCUGAGGGGGAGGCCCGGCUCCGGCUGGACACACUAAUUGAAGAGGCGGGGCUGUAAGGACAAAUAUUGUUUUCCUAAAAAGAUGGGUGAAAUGCACAAACCGUCAUUCCAAACCCAAAGCUACUCUGGCUUCACCAUUGGCUCCCUGAAAGACCUCCUGUCGGAACUACGGAGCAGAGGCUCCUAAGCCCUGGUUAAUCCACCAGAGAAUGAUUACAGCAAUUUUAUAAUGUGAAUUUGUCUGUGAUAUGUUUUUAGUCUUUAAUCGGUUUUGGCAUCCCAUUUGAAGAGAUGGAAAUACAGGGAUUUGAGAUGUAUUAAAUCAUUUCUCCAACAAUUA